AACGAACGCUGGCGGCAGGCUUAACACAUGCAAGUCGAGCGCCCCGCAAGGGGAGCGGCAGACGGGUGAGUAACGCGUGGGAAUCUACCCAUCCCUACGGAACAACUCCGGGAAACUGGAGCUAAUACCGUAUACGCCCUUAGGGGGAAAGAUUUAUCGGGGAUGGAUGAGCCCGCGUUGGAUUAGCUAGUUGGUGGGGUAAUGGCCUACCAAGGCAACGAUCCAUAGCUGGUCUGAGAGGAUGAUCAGCCACACUGGGACUGAGACACGGCCCAGACUCCUACGGGAGGCAGCAGUGGGGAAUAUUGGACAAUGGGCGCAAGCCUGAUCCAGCCAUGCCGCGUGAGUGAUGACGGCCCUAGGGUUGUAAAGCUCUUUCACCGGUGAAGAUAAUGACGGUAACCGGAGAAGAAGACCCGGCUAACUUCGUG
rnacentral:rRNA from 1 species